CUAGGUGACAGUAUGGCACUUCUGAGUUUAAGUUAUGAAAGAUGGUGGCUUUCAUUUAGGUCUCUGGAUCUCUCUCUCUAUCACUUUAUCUGCCAAGCUGCUGUGUUUUAAGCAGCCCUCUAGAGAGACUUUUAUGGUAAGGAAGUAUAGUAUUAUACUAUCUGGCCAAUAGCCAGAGAAGAAUUGAGAUCUCCCAACAACCAUGUGACUGAACUUGGAAGCAGACCCUUCUUUCCCAGCUGAAUCUUCUUGAGAUGUCUGGAGCCCUGGCUAACAGCUUAAUAACCUCAAGAGAGAAUCUGGGCAAGAACGACUCAGUCACUUAAAAGGAUAAAUAUUAAUGGACAUAAUCAUGAAACUAUCUGUGAAAGUCAUUUGAAGAUAGUGAUAAAGGCGUAUUGACAGAAUCUACAUUUGAUACAUUGAAAAAAAUCAUUGAAAAAGAAGGCAGAAAUAAAUGAACAAUGAUUGAAUACCAGUAAACUUGGUGCUUUGCACACUGCCUUUG
rnacentral:lncRNA from 10 species